rnacentral:rRNA from 1 species
CCUACGGGAGGCAGCAGUGGGGAAUAUUGCACAAUGGGCGAAAGCCUGAUGCAGCGACGCCGCGUGAGGGAUGACGGCCUUCGGGUUGUAAACCUCUUUCAGCAGGGAAGAAGCGAAAGUGACGGUACCUGCAGAAGAAGCGCCGGCUAACUACGUGCCAGCAGCCGCGGUAAUACGUAGGGCGCAAGCGUUGUCCGGAAUUAUUGGGCGUAAAGAGCUCGUAGGCGGCUUGGUACACGUCGGAUGUGAAAGCUCGGGGCUUAACCCCGAGUCUGCAUACGAUACGGGCUAGCUAGAGUGUGGUAGGGGAGAUCGGAAUUCCUGGUGUAGCGGUGAAAUGCGCAGAUAUCAGGAGGAACACCGGUGGCGAAGGCGGAUCUCUGGGCCAUUACUGACGCUGAGGAGCGAAAGCGUGGGGAGCGAACAGGAUUAGAUACCCUGGUAGUCCACGCCGUAAACGUUGGGAACUAGGUGUUGGCGACAUUCCACGUCGUCGGUGCCGGCAGCUACGCAUAACGUUACCCGUCCGUCGGGAGGUACGGCCGCGACGGACGUAAACGUUAAACGUAGUAAGUUAGUACGGCGUGAGACGUCGCCGACGGACGACGACGAGGGAGGUAGG